AGACUCUCCUCCUGCCCUGGCACCUGCCCAGGCUGCAGUGAGGGGCCAGGCACAUUGUGGUCAGGCCCCCACACUCCCUGGUCUCAGCGCCAGGUGCCCGGGUGACGCCCCCCAUCUCCGCAUCCCCCCAGGGAGGGGCUCUCUCUCUGGGGAGGGAAUGAGUGUGUCCAGCCCCUGCCCCCUCAUCUGCCCCUCCCAGGCUGCUGGGCCUGCUGCCUGCACCUGCAGGCCUGGGAGGUGGAGGGACCGUGCCGAGCUGUGGCCUCCUCGCUGUGCUCCUGCAGUGGUGGCCCUGGCCGGCUCCAGACCAGCAACUGCGAAGCGGAAGAAAGGAGAUGACAACCUAGCGUUCUCCGUGCAGCGAAAGUUCCAAAAUAAAGUUGAGAGAAAACCGUCGUCAGAGAAACAGAACCCAGUUCCUUGCUGCAUGCUUGCACUAAGAGAAAGUGUAGGAGGUGUUCCUCAGCCGAAGUUAAGGACAUCCUUUGGAAGUGACGGAUCCAGGAAUGAGGAAAAUACUGGUGAAUAAGCGGUAAACCUACAUGGACACUGAUUUCGUAACAAGAUUAAGAUAGAGACAGCCAGCGAGAGAGGGAACACAAGCAGGGGGAGUGGGAGAGGAAGAAGCAGGCUCACAGCGGAGGAGCCUGAUGUGGGGCUCGAUCCCAGAACGCCGGGAUCACGCCCUGAGCCGAAGGCAGACGCUUUAACCGCUGUGCCACCCAGGCGCCCCGGAAAUAAAGAAAUAUUUUAAUUAGUAGCUCA
rnacentral:lncRNA from 1 species